AGAUUGAACGCUGGCGGCAGGCCUAACACAUGCAAGUCGAGCGGUAGAGAGGUGCUUGCAUCUCUUGAGAGCGGCGGACGGGUGAGUAAUGCCUAGGAAUCUGCCUAGUGGUGGGGGAUAACGUUCGGAAACGGACGCUAAUACCGCAUACGUCCUACGGGAGAAAGCGGGGGACCUUCGGGCCUCGCGCGGAACGAUGAGCCUGCGUCCUAUCAGGUAGUUGGUGAGGUAAUGGCUCACCAAGCCGACGACGGGUAGCUGGUCUGAGCGGGCGACCGAGACCGACACGUGGGACUGACGACACGGACCCAGACCUCCGUACGGGAGGCAGCAGGUGGGAAUUGUGGACAAGUCGGGGGAAACCUGACUCCGAG
rnacentral:rRNA from 1 species